GCUCCGUAGGUGAACCUGCGGAGGGAUCAUUACAGAGUUCAUGCCCUACCGGGUAGAUCUCCCACCCUAUGUUAUUAUUACUUUGUUGCUUUGGCGGGCCGUUAGGCUCCGGCCCGACUACCGGCCCCGGCUGGUAAGCGCCCGCCAGAGGACCCAAAACCCUGAAUAUUAGUGUCGUCCGAGUACUAUAUAAUAGUUAAAACUUUCAACAACGGAUCUCUUGGUUCUG
rnacentral:misc_RNA from 1 species